rnacentral:rRNA from 3 species
AAAUUGAAGAGUUUGAUCAUGGCUCAGAUUGAACGCUGGCGGCAGGCCUAACACAUGCAAGUCGAACGGUAACAGGAAGCAGCUUGCUGCUUUGCUGACGAGUGGCGGACGGGUGAGUAAUGUCUGGGAAACUGCCCGAUGGAGGGGGAUAACUACUGGAAACGGUGGCUAAUACCGCAUAACGUCGCAAGACCAAAGAGGGGGACCUUCGGGCCUCUUGCCAUCAGAUGUGCCCAGAUGGGAUUAGCUUGUUGGUGAGGUAACGGCU